AUGCCGCGGCGCGCUCUGCGACCGCGCCUGCUUGGCGCGCGACGACUCCGUGUUGGCCAUGUAGCUCGCGGCGUGGGCGUGGCACGCCUUGCCGCCGCGGUGGCGCCCGCUCGCCUCGGACGCCGCCGCGGAGAAGGAGGCGGACGAGUAGUGCUCCUCGUCGAACCGGCCGCUGAACGUCCGCACGCUCAAGUCCGACGUCAGACCCGACGGACCCGGCGACGCCUUCUGGUUCUGGUUGUAGUACAGCUCCGCCUUCGCCGGCGUCGAGCAGCAGCUGUUGCGCCGUGCGCCGCCGCUGCUGUCCACCUCCCCGACGCCCUUCCCGUUCUCCUCCUGCAUUGCCACGGACAGUGGCUUCCGAGGGGAGCAGUGAUGCUGCGGCGACCGGCGGCUCGUUGUCCGCGCCGGCGGCGUGCCGUCCUCGAGGAGCCGGAGCCGCAGCCGCUCAGCGCGCACGCGCCUCUGGGCGGCGACGAGCGCCUGGAUGCGGCGGAGCGUCAUGUCGGCCUGCCGCCUCACCAGCUGGCCCCUCACGAUGGCCUGCAGCUUCACCAUCCCUCGCAGCGCGCACAGUGCCGUCCUCGCCAGAUACGAUCGGAAGGCGGACUGAAUCUUGACGGCCGCGGCUUCCUCGGCGUCACAGGUGCUGCCCUCCGGCGGCGCCUUGGCCGCGGUGAUCGCGACCUCGUGCGGCGCAGCAGCACCGACGGCAUGCUGGUCCUGCACCGUCACCGCAUGCACCUCCGAGAAGCAGUGCGACGACGUGGACGCGAGCUGGCCCUUGCCUUGGCAGCCGGACGUGGCGCUGAUCGUGUCCCUGGCGCUCACCGACGCCGCCGGACGCCGGAAGCUCCAGCGUCUCUUCUCUUUGGCCGGCGCCGGCAGGCCGUCGUCUGUCCCCUUGUCCCUGGCCUUCUUGCCGGUGAGGAAGCUUCUGAGCCACCUGCCAGCCUUGCCCAUCUGCAGAGAAAACGCUACAAUUCUGCAGCUGCGGCUGCCGCUACUACUUGCUCUACUCCAUUACGCGUCGAUCUUUGCAGCAGCAUGCAGGGGAAGAAGUAG
rnacentral:rRNA from 1 species